AGAGGAGGGGGAGGAGGAAAAUGCCCUGUAUAUCUACAAGUUGGAGUUAGGAGGGGAACUACGUAAAAAUCCCUAAAAUGGAAAAGAAAAGGUAAACAGACACUGCAGCAGGCCUUGUAUUAUACUUCUCGCAUCACGGCCAUUCCUUCUGUCCAUUUUGAUUCAGAAAAUGGUGAUCAAGGAGGACUGCUAAGGAAGUGUGAAACCUUAUGUAAGUGCCAGCUUCCUAUUGCAGGGGAGGUAGGCAUGCUGUGUGAAAGAGGAGAAAGAGGUUGUUGGAGGGAAUUCUCAGGCAGGAUACUGUGGAAUCACCCAAGCCACACUCCUUUCCUGGUAGCAGAGACAUGAGCAUUUCUCUACGUCAGGAUACAAGGAAGACUCUGUGGUAGGCCUGGGAAGCUGACCACCUGCUCUUGCCAAAGAUUCACCUACCCAGAGAAUAAGAUGGAAGAAAGAGGGAUAAAGGAUCUAAGGAUAUCUUGCCAGUUCCAAAAAUGAGUGUAUUAUUUCUAACCAGUGUCUGAUAACAGCAGGGAUCGCCUUAGGCUUGGUACUAAGUUAAAUCCAUAGAAUGUUCGUACAACUAAUGGAGAUGGGGCAUAUAUGAUAAUAAUUGAAGAAGAUUUCCAUAUCAGAGUUAAAUAUAGCUUAUGUUUAUGUUAUUGUAAGGCAAUGCAAAUGGGAUAUUUCUUAUAUUACUUAGCAUAUAAACUGAAUUUCAUUUUCAUUUGGUAAAUGUCCUAUUUAAAGUUCCAAUAUCACAUCCUUAUUUUAGUGUGCUUUAUGAAUAUCACAAGCUGUUUCACAUCUGUCCCUUGAAAGGGACAGGAGUCCUUUUUUAAGAAGUAAUUUAGUUGGUCAGGCUUUAGAUCCCACAGAGAACACAAGUUUGAGAGAUUUCCAAGCCGGCCCACAGGGUCAUUUAUCAAUCACCAAUAAAUAAUUUGAAUCACUUGAAACCAUCUGACACCAGAAAUUAUCCUACUAACAUGAAGCACUCACUGUGACUUAAAGUCCAAGAAGUACUUGUCUUCAUUAAACACACAUUUGAUCAACCAGUUACAGACAGCUGAUAUUUAGGUAAUGAGUAAGACACAUGAAACUAUAAACAAAACCCCUUUCUUCUUUACAUGAGUCCCUUCUCCUGUCACUCCCCUCUGUCUACCCACUAACCAAAAUGGAGAAGAAUCUGAAAAGGAAUAAUCAACACAUGAUGGGUCUAGUCAUUACACAAUGGUAUAACAGUCAUGAUGUUGCCAGUCUAGAAGCUCAGCUGGGUUUUACCGCCCUGACAAAUAUACUGACUAGAUGCUUAAAAGGUGUUCAAGUAAAUGACUUAGGAGUACCUAUCCUAAUAGGGUGACAGUACUGUUAGGAAAUAUUUCAUUAUUUUAAGUAUUUGUCUAGGGUAAAGUAAUCUACUUUGUUUACUUGCAAUUUGCACUACUUUUUAAAAUUAGCCUGUUUAUGAUAUGUGGAUCAAUGAAA